rnacentral:rRNA from 1 species
UCGCAUCGAUGAAGAACGCAGCGAAAUGCGAUAAGUAAUGUGAAUUGCAGAAUUCAGUGAAUCAUCGAAUCUUUGAACGCACCUUGCGCUCCUUGGUAUUCUGAGGAGCAUGCCUGUUUGAGUGUCAUUAAAUUCUCAACCCAUCCCAACUUGUUUGGUGAUGUGGCUUGGAUGUGGGGUUUGUUGCAGGCCUUUGUAAUAAAAGGUCAGCUCCCCUGAAAUGCAUUAGCGGAA